UACGUAGGUGGCAAGCGUUGUCCGGAUUUACUGGGCGUAAAGGGCGUGCAGGCGGUUUGUUAAGUUCAGGGUGAAAGCUCCCGGCUCAACUGGGAGAGGUCCUUGGAUACUGGCAGACUUGAGGAGGGUAGAGGAGAGUGGAAUUCCCGGUGUAGUGGUGAUAUGCGUAGAUAUCGGGAGGAACACCAGUGGCGAAGGCGGCUCUCUGGGCCCGACCUGACGCUGAGACGCGAAAGCGUGGGGAGCGAACAGG
rnacentral:rRNA from 1 species